UACAGAGGUCUCAAGCGUUGUUCGGAUUCAUUGGGCGUAAAGCGUGUGUAGGCGGCCGCGCAAGUCGGAUGUGAAAUCCCCGGGCUCAACCCGGGAAGGGCACCCGAAACUGCACGGCUCGAGUACCGGAGAGGUUGGUGGAAUUCUCGGUGUAGAGGGUGAAAAUUCGUAGAUAUCGAGAGGAACACCGGUGGCGAAGGCGGCCAAACUGGACGAGUACUGACGCUGAGACACGAAAGCGUGGGGAGCAAACAGG
rnacentral:rRNA from 1 species